rnacentral:rRNA from 1 species
AUGAACGCUAGCUACAGGCUUAACACAUGCAAGUCGAGGGGCAGCAUGGUCUUAGCUUGCUAAGGCCGAUGGCGACCGGCGCACGGGUGAGUAACACGUAUCCAACCUGCCGUCUACUCUUGGACAGCCUUCUGAAAGGAAGAUUAAUACAAGAUGGCAUCAUGAGUCCGCAUGUUCACAUGAUUAAAGGUAUUCCGGUAGACGAUGGGGAUGCGUUCCAUUAGAUAGUAGGCGGGGUAACGGCCCACCUAGUCUUCGAUGGAUAGGGGUUCUGAGAGGAAGGUCCCCCACAUUGGAACUGAGACACGGUCCAAACUCCUACGGGAGGCAGCAGUGAGGAAUAUUGGUCAAUGGGCGAGAGCCUGAACCAGCCAAGUAGCGUGAAGGAUGACUGCCCUAUGGGUUGUAAACUUCUUUUAUAAAGGAAUAAAGUCGGGUAUGGAUACCCGUUUGCAUGUACUUUAUGAAUAAGGAUCGGCUAACUCCGUGCCAGCAGCCGCGGUAAUACGGAGGAUCCGAGCGUUAUCCGGAUUUAUUGGGUUUAAAGGGAGCGUAGAUGGAUGUUUAAGUCAGUUGUGAAAGUUUGCGGCUCAACCGUAAAAUUGCAGUUGAUACUGGAUAUCUUGAGUGCAGUUGAGGCAGGCGGAAUUCGUGGUGUAGCGGUGAAAUGCUUAGAUAUCACGAGGAACUCCGAUUGCGAAGGCAGCCUGCUAAGCUGCAACUGACAUUGAGGCUCGAAAGUGUGGGUAUCAAACAGGAUUAGAUACCCUGGUAGUCCACACAGUAAACGAUGAAUACUCGCUGUUUGCGAUAUACAGCAAGCGGCCAAGCGAAAGCGUUAAGUAUUCCACCUGGGGAGUACGCCGGCAACGGUGAAACUCAAAGGAAUUGACGGGGGCCCGCACAAGCGGAGGAACAUGUGGUUUAAUUCGAUGAUACGCGAGGAACCUUACCCGGGCUUAAAUUGCAGAUGAAUUACGGUGAAAGCCGUAAGCCGCAAGGCAUCUGUGAAGGUGCUGCAUGGUUGUCGUCAGCUCGUGCCGUGAGGUGUCGGCUUAAGUGCCAUAACGAGUGCAACCCUUGUUGUCAGUUACUAACAGGUUCCGCUGAGGACUCUGACAAGACUGCCAUCGUAAGAUGUGAGGAAGGUGGGGAUGACGUCAAAUCAGCACGGCCCUUACGUCCGGGGCUACACACGUGUUACAAUGGGGGGUACAGAGGGCCGCUACCACGCGAGUGGAUGCCAAUCCCCAAAACCUCUCUCAGUUCGGACUGGAGUCUGCAACCCGACUCCACGAAGCUGGAUUCGCUAGUAAUCGCGCAUCAGCCACGGCGCGGUGAAUACGUUCCCGGGCCUUGUACACACCGCCCGUCAAGCCAUGGGAGCCGGGGGUACCUGAAGUGCGUAACCGCGAGGAGCGCCCUAGGGUAAAACUGGUGACUGGGGCU